rnacentral:rRNA from 1 species
CAGCCGCCACGGUAAUACGAAGGGGGCUAGCGUUGUUCGGAUUUACUGGGCGUAAAGCGCACGUAGGCGGACUUUUAAGUCAGGGGUGAAAUCCCGGGGCUCAACCCCGGAACUGCCUUUGAUACUGGAAGUCUUGAGUAUGGUAGAGGUGAGCGGAAUUCCGAGUGUAGAGGUGAAAUUUGUAGAUAUUCGGAGGAACACCAGUGGCGAAGGCGGCUCACUGGACCAUUACUGACGCUGAGGUGCGAAAGCGUGGGGAGCAAACAGGAUUAGAUACCCCCGUAGUCCCUGUCUCUUAUAA